rnacentral:rRNA from 1 species
AGGGCAGUCUAUACAUGCAGUUGAGCGCUGAGGUUGGUACUUGUACCAACUGGAUGAGCAGCGAACGGGUGAGUAACGCGUGGGGAAUCUGCCUUUGAGCGGGGGACAACAUUUGGAAACGAAUGCUAAUACCGCAUAAAAACUUUAAACACAAGUUUUAAGUUUGAAAGAUGCAAUUGCAUCACUCAAAGAUGAUCCCGCGUUGUAUUAGCUAGUUGGUGAGGUAAAGGCUCACCAAGGCGAUGAUACAUAGCCGACCUGAGAGGGUGAUCGGCCACAUUGGGACUGAGACACGGCCCAAACUCCUACGGGAGGCAGCAGUAGGGAAUCUUCGGCAAUGGACGAAAGUCUGACCGAGCAACGCCGCGUGAGUGAAGAAGGUUUUCGGAUCGUAAAACUCUGUUGGUAGAGAAGAACGUUGGUGAGAGUGGAAAGCUCAUCAAGUGACGGUAACUACCCAGAAAGGGACGGCUAACUACGUGCCAGCAGCCGCGGUAAUACGUAGGUCCCGAGCGUUGUCCGGAUUUAUUGGGCGUAAAGCGAGCGCAGGUGGUUUAUUAAGUCUGGUGUAAAAGGCAGUGGCUCAACCAUUGUAUGCAUUGGAACUGGUAGACUUGAGUGCAGGAGAGGAGAGUGGAAUUCCAUGUGUAGCGGUGAAAUGCGUAGAUAUAUGGAGGAACACCGGUGGCGAAAGCGGCUCUCUGGCCUGUAACUGACACUGAGGCUCGAAAGCGUGGGGAGCAAACAGGAUUAGAUACCCUGGGUAGUCCACGCCGUAAACGAUGAGUGCUAGAUGUAGGAGCUAUAAGUUCUCUGUAUCGCAGCUAACGCAAUAAGCACUCCGCCUGGGGGAGUACGACGCAGGUGAACUCAAAAGGAAUGACGGGGGGCGCACAGCGUUGCAGCAUGGUGGAUUAAAUUCGGAAGCAACGCGAAGAAACCUUA